ACGUGAUCUGAGUUCAGACCGGAGUAAUCCAGGUCAGUUUCUAUCUAUAAAGGGCUUUUUCUAGUACGAAAGGACCGAAAAAGCAUGGCCAAUGAUUUAUUAAGCCAUACUAAUAAAUUAUGACUUCAACUUAAUUAUUAAAAAACCUUAUAUUCUACUCAAGACAAGAGAA
rnacentral:rRNA from 2 species